rnacentral:rRNA from 1 species
UACAGAGGGUGCAAGCGUUGUUCGGAAUUACUGGGCGUAAAGGGCGCGCAGGCGGCUCUGCAAGUCAGAUGUGAAAGCCCCGGGCUUAACCUGGGAACUGCAUUUGAUACUCUAGAGCUUGAGUACGGGAGAGGAGAGUGGAAUUCCCAGUGUAGAGGUGAAAUUCGUAGAUAUUGGGAAGAACACCGGUGGCGAAGGCGGCCCUCUGGACCGUAACUGACGCUGAGGCGCGAAAGCGUGGGGAGCAAACAGG